rnacentral:rRNA from 1 species
CCUACGGGGGGCGGCAGUGGGGAAUAUUGGGCAAUGGGGGAAACCCUGACCCAGCAACGCCGCGUGAGGGAAGAAGGCCUUCGGGUUGUAAACCUCUGUCCUUGGGGACGAAUUCUGACGGUACCCAAGGAGGAAGCUCCGGCUAACUACGUGCCAGCAGCCCCGGUC